rnacentral:sRNA from 1 species
AUUCGUGAAAUCGUUGUGUUGUACGAUCCUCAAAUUGUUGCAUUACUCUUUUCAUUUCGGGAUCACUAUCAUAGUUCGCCGG